rnacentral:rRNA from 1 species
GCACAAUGGGGGAAACCCUGAUGCAGCAACGCCGCGUGGAGGAUGACGCAUUUCGGUGUGUAAACUCCUUUUAUAUGUCAAGAAAAUGACGGUAGCAUAUGAAUAAGCACCGGCUAACUCCGUGCCAGCAGCCGCGGUAAUACGGAGGGUGCAAGCGUUACUCGGAAUCACUGGGCGUAAAGGACGCGUAGGCGGGUUGGAAAGUCAGAUGUGAAAUCCUACAGCUUAACUGUAGAACUGCAUUUGAAACUUCUAAUCUAGAGUAUGGGAGGGGGAGAUGGAAUUAGUGGUGUAGGGGUAAAAUCCGUAGAUAUCACUAGGAAUACCGAAAGCGAAGGCGAUCUCCUGGAACAUAACUGACGCUAAGGCGUGAAAGCGUGGGGAGCAAACAGGAUUAGAUACCCUGGUAGUCCACGCCCUAAACGAUGAACACUAGUCGUCGGGAUGCUAGUCAUCUCGGUGAUGCACUUAACAGAUUAAGUGUUCCGCCUGGGGAGUACGGUCGCAAGAUUAAAACUCAAAGGAAUAGACGGGGACCCGCACAAGUGGUGGAGCAUGUGGUUUAAUUCGAAGAUACGCGAAGAACCUUACCUAGCCUUGACAUUGAUUGAACACACUAGAGAUAGAGUGGUGCCCUUCGGGGAACAUGAAAACAGGUGCUGCACGGCUGUCGUCAGCUCGUGUCGUGAGAUGUUGGGUUAAGUCCCGCAACGAGCGCAACCCUCGUCCUUAGUUGCUAGCAGUUCGGCUGAGCACUCUAAGGAGACUGCCUUCGUAAGGAGGAGGAAGGUGAGGACGACGUCAAGUCAUCAUGGCCCUUAUGGCUAGGGCUACACACGUGCUACAAUGGGGCGUACAGAGUGUUGCGAUACCGCGAGGUGGAGCUAAUCACUUAAAGCGUCUCUCAGUUCGGAUUGGAGUCUGCAACUCGACUCCAUGAAGCUGGAAUCACUAGUAAUCGUAGAUCAGCAAUGCUACGGUGAAUACGU